rnacentral:rRNA from 1 species
AGUGAACGCUGGCGGUAGGCCUAACACAUGCAAGUCGAACGGCAGCACAGUAAGAGCUUGCUCUUACGGGUGGCGAGUGGCGGACGGGUGAGGAAUACAUCGUAAUCUACUUUUUCGUGGGGGUUAACGUAGGGAAACUUACGCUAAUACCGCAUACGACCUACGGGUGAAAGCAGGGGAUCUUCGGACCUUGCGCGAUUGAAUGAGCCGAUGUCGGAUUAGCUAGUUGGCGGGGUAAAGGCCCACCACGGCGACGAUCCGUAGCUGGUCUGAGAGGAUGAUCAGCCGCACUGGAACUGGGACACGCUCCAGACUCCUACGGGAGGCAGCAGUGGGGAAUAUUAGACAAUGGGCGCAAGCCUGAUCCAGCCAUACCGCGUGGGUGAAGAAGGCCUUCGGGUUGUGAUGCCCUUUUGUUGGGAAAGAAAAGCAGCAGGUUAAUACCACGCUGUUCUGACGGUACCCAAAGAAUAAGCACCGGCUAACUUCGUG